CCUGCGCAUUGGCUCCAUUCCCACUGUGACUCGUCAAUCGUCAUCGACCCAGAAAUCACUGAGGAAAGAAGCUAUUCUCUCUCGCUCUCUUCUCUUCUCCCUCACACUAUGCUGCUCCGGUAUCUUCCCUUCUCUAUUUCACUAUCUCUCACUCUAUAUAUCUCCCGCCCAACGCAAGGUCCGCAUAAGGGAAGAGGCAAGUCGUCUUCCAUAGAGCUCCUCCAUCGCUGCGUCUUGAAGAACCUUCUCGAACGGCCCCAAGCUAACGCCUGAAGCCUCUCAAUUUCAAACCCAUCAAGGAUCGCCUGAAGCUUCUCAUCUCUUCCCUUCGACGGUGGUUUCUUCUAAUCUUCAAACUCAAGGUCAUCUCUGAUGCAGCCUCGUCAAAGGCCUGGUUUGUGAGUUAUUGAAUUUCUCAAAUUUAACCUAGUUCUCUAGCCUCUGAAGAUUUGCCUGCUACAAGAUUCCAAUCGCUGCUGUCACGGGAAAAAGGUACUUUCUGUGGAAAUAAUUUCUGGUUAUGUCAUUGGUGAUUUGGAAGGAUUGGUCUUCAAUCUGCAUGAUUUGCACAUCUUUCCUAUGGUCCUUGGUGAGGUGUAAAGGCCAUAUAUGCCCUCAUGAAGGGAGGAUGCAAAGGAGGUCAAGUUUAGGGAGGAGUUUGAGGGGGCGGUGCUUGAGAGACACUCAGCACCAGGGGGGUUGCAUAUGAUAGUGAUAAGGAUACGCCUGCUGAUGUGGAGACAGAAGCAGAAGCGAGAGAGACACUGCAUGCUAAGGCAGCCAACAUAGUUGCACAUUGGCAGGAGUAGGAUAAAGGCAGGGAGUUCAAGGAGCUGGUUCUUCAAGCAUACUGUGACAUGGCUAUCUUUGUGAUACAAUCAGAGGAAUGGUUCCAUUGGCGGCAACAAUCUUCUAGUGGUUUUGAGUCUCCUCGAAAAUCUAUGUGAUAUCUUCUAGUGUACUGUUAAAUGGUUAUUCUUCUUCUUCUUCAUUCUUAAUACAUAUUUCAAUUUCUUUUAUUGAAUGCAUGCUGGUAGUGCUAAA